rnacentral:antisense_RNA from 1 species
GCCUAUGGCGGCUGUGCGCGGGCAGGCGUAAGUCUGACCGGCUGUUUCGUGUCCGGGUCUCACCCCGCGCGCAGUUGCCACCCUG